GCACUCACUUCGGCUGCACGUUUAUUAAAAUUGGAACAAUACAAGAUUAGCAUGGCCCCUGCCAAGGAUGACAUGCAAAUCUGUGAAGCAUUCAAUACAAAC
rfam:Tupaia chinensis contig238142, whole genome shotgun sequence.